GGCGAAGAAAGAUGCAAAAGAGGCAGAAUGUGAAACACAGACUCCAGAUUCCACACACCAGCUGCUUUGAUCUCAUCCUGAGGGCAUCUAUAGAAAGGACAAAUAAGCUGUGAAAGUGCAUUCUACAACAAUAUGGAACAAGCUUCCUACAGGGCAAUGAACAGACAGUAGUGCAGGUAAUUGGCUGUUUUGUUUUGGAAUCUGCUACCUACUGAGAUACUGGCAAGGACGUGGGUGGGUGAGUGGUAACAGCUUCAAGGACUCGUUUUUGUAGAAAAAGAAGGGACAGUGACUUGAGGUCAUGUGGAGAGUUAGCCGACACCUCUGUGAGCUGCUUCCACUGUUGAGAAACCAAGCUACCAAUUAGUAUAAAUUAAUACUAUCAAUUAGUAGUUUAGUUGAUAUAGGCAGAUUUAAUUUUAUGAAGUGUGAGUUUAGAAGUUUGAUUAAUAACAUGUUGGGUUUUCCAAGGACCUAGGGAAUGUGCUGCACUGACUGCAGGUAAGCCAGCCAAAGGGCUUUGGUUAACUGCAGUUAUGCAGGCUGUUCUUCCUGCAUAACUGACUUGGUCUUCAGUGAAGGCUACAUUCUCAAAUAUGAGCGCAAAAUGAAGAAGCAGCAUGAAUACUUCAGGUAAAGGAACAAAAGCUAUCCAAAGGAAUCUUGAUUUUAACAGGUAGGUGAUGAAGUUCAUGUUCUGAUUCCAUAGAUGCAAGGUGACAGCCCACAAAAACAAGCUCUGUUGUGAUUUUUGUUUCACCAGGCAUGACAGAAUUGGUGAAGGUUUAUUACGUGCUUCUUCACUUUACGCACUGAAUAGUCAGUAAUUUAUUGCAUCCUUUCAGUUAAGCUGUGGAUCUUGUCUGUUUUGUUAGCUCUGGAUCACAGUUGUGUUUUACCUUAACUGAAGGUAUGUAAUAGGGAAAAAAAAAAAAAAAAGCAGUAGUACGAAAGAAUAUUUUAUUUUAGUGCAAGCCAAAUAAAAACUGUAUGCCUAAACCCACACAAAAACCAAGCAGUAGUACAGAAGUUGGAAAAAUGUUUGCAUAUAUCUGUAGACAUCUCAGAGAAUUAUUUUGCAAAGGUAUAUUGCCAUCUAGUGCUAAACUUUCUUCUAUUCGUUGUAGUGUGUGCUUGUACAUUUGCAGUAGAUUCCUCACUGACACUUUCAUGAGAAUCAUCAGAAAUAAUUUUCACUUCUACUGUCAGGGCUGCUGGCAUUGUAAAUUUACUCUCUAGAAAGAGAGUUUGCUAAAGUUGCUGCCCUGUUCCUUUUUAAGCACUGAGAGGAAGAGUUAAAACAAAAUGUAAUUUUUUAUGUACAUCUGUAUGUAUACCUGUAGCAUUAACCCUUAGAUAAUAACAUCUUCAUAGAGAGGGAUGAGUCUGGAUUAAUUUUACAAACGGAAUUUUGGCACAAAGGUGAUGUAGCUUCUUCUCUUCCUUUUUACACAGGUUUUUGUUCAUUUGUUUGUUUUUUGUGCAUGUAGUUUUUUAGGUUUUGGUAUAUACAUAUUUUCUCCUUUUCUACACAUCUCAUUUCUGAGUUUUACUUAAUGUGGUAAGUUGUGUAUUUUUUUGUCCUAUGGCAUUCAAAGAUGAUAACACUUUUAAAUCUCACUUACCACAACUUCUCUUUAACUUUGAACUUACAUAGCAGUGAAUUCCACAUAGUGAACUAGAAUUUUGUAAUAUGUCUGGCAAUGCUUCCUCUUAGAAAGGUUUUAGGAACUUUGCACUCUUUCAUGCCUUGUGUUAUAGCUGUGUGAAACUUUGCCAUAGUUUAGCUGUUGAAGCUAUAAUUUCCUGAGGCUUGGUUAGGAAUACAGGUUUUUACCCAGCUGUGGGACUGAAAAUGAAGAGGGAGUUUAUUGUAUGCUUCAUUAUUUGUUAACCCUGGAAAGCUAAAAGCAAAAGCAUACACAUUUAGGAAAUAGAUAAAACUCAGUAUAAAUUAACUAUUGUCUCAGUUCCCCACUUGUUCUUUUUUUUUUUUUUUUUUU